UUAACUUAUUAUAAUAUUACUCAGACAAUACAAAAAUCAAGAGUUUAGGUCCUCUGGCAGACACGGACCAGCUUAAAGCCAGUAGUCAAAAGACAGGCCUGCCAAAGCAACAAAGGUAUAGUAAACAAAGGGUGGAGAUCUACCCCAAGGGGCAAGUUCUCUGUAAUGAUCCUUCCGCAGGUUCACCUACGGAAA
rnacentral:misc_RNA from 1 species